rnacentral:rRNA from 1 species
GUGCCAGCCGCCGCGGUAAUACGGAGGAUCCAAGCGUUAUCCGGAUUUAUUGGGUUUAAAGGGUGCGUAGGCGGCUCAUUAAGUCAGGGGUGAAAGACGGUGGCCCAACCAUCGCAGUGCCUUUGAUACUGAUGAGCUUGAAUGAACUAGAGGUAGGCGGAAUGUGACAAGUAGCGGUGAAAUGCAUAGAUAUGUCACAGAACACCGAUUGCGAAGGCAGCUUACUAUGGUUUUAUUGAUGCUGAGGCACGAAAGCGUGGGGAUCAAACAGGAUUAGAAACCCGGGAGUCC